rnacentral:rRNA from 1 species
UGGGGAAUUUUGGACAAUGGGCGAAAGCCUGAUCCAGCAAUGCCGCGUGUGUGAAGAAGGCCUUCGGGUUGUAAAGCACUUUUGUCCGGAAAGAAAUCCUUGGCUCUAAUACAGUCGGGGGAUGACGGUACCGGAAGAAUAAGCACCGGCUAACUACGUGCCAGCAGCCGCGGUAAUACGUAGGGUGCAAGCGUUAAUCGGAAUUACUGGGCGUAAAGCGUGCGCAGGCGGUUUGCUAAGACCGAUGUGAAAUCCCCGGGCUCAACCUGGGAACUGCAUUGGUGACUGGCAGGCUAGAGUAUGGCAGAGGGGGGUAGAAUUCCACGUGUAGCAGUGAAAUGCGUAGAGAUGUGGAGGAAUACCGAUGGCGAAGGCAGCCCCCUGGCAAGUACUGACGCUCAUGCACGAAAAGCGUGGGGAGCAAACGGAUUAAUNCCCUGGUAGUCCACGCCCUAAAANGAUG